rnacentral:rRNA from 1 species
AACGAACGCUGGCGGCAUGCCUAACACAUGCAAGUCGAACGAGACCUUCGGGUCUAGUGGCGCACGGGUGCGUAACGCGUGGGAAUCUGCCCUUGGGUUCGGGAUAACAGUUGGAAACGACUGCUAAUACCGAAUGAUGACUUCGGUCCAACGAUUUAUCGCCCAGGGAUGAGCCCGCGUCGGAUUAGCUUGUUGGUGAGGUAAAGGCUCACCAAGGCGACGAUCCGUAGCUGGUCUGAGAGGAUGAUCAGCCACACUGGGACUGAGACACGGCCCAGACUCCUACGGGAGGCAGCAGUGGGGAAUAUUGGACAAUGGGCGAAAGCCUGAUCCAGCAAUGCCGCGUGAGUGAUGAAGGCCUUAGGGUUGUAAAGCUCUUUUACCCGGGAAGAUAAUGACUGUACCGGGAGAAUAAGCCCCGGCUAACUCCGUGCCAGCCGCCGCGGUAA